rnacentral:rRNA from 1 species
CACGUAGGGCGCAAGCGUUGUCCGGAAUUAUUGGGCGUAAAGAGCUCGUAGGCGGCUUGUCGCGUCGGCUGUGAAAACCUGGGGCUCAACCCCGGGCCUGCAGCCGAUACGGGCAAGCUAGAAUUCGGUAGGGGAGACUGGAAUUCCUGGAUGUAGCGGUGAAAUGCGCAGAUAUCAGGAAGAACACCCGUGGCGAAGGCGGCUCUCUGGAACGCAACUGACGCUGAGACGCGAAAGCGUGGGGAGCAAACAGG